rnacentral:rRNA from 1 species
AUUGAACGCUGGCGGCAUGCCUUACACAUGCAAGUCGAACGGUAACAGGUCUUCGGAUGCUGACGAGUGGCGAACGGGUGAGUAAUACAUCGGAACGUGCCCGAUCGUGGGGGGAUAACGAAGCGAAAGCUUUGCUAAUACCGCAUACGAUCUACGGAUGAAAGCAGGGGACCGCAAGGCCUUGCGCGAACGGAGCGGCCGAUGGCAGAUUAGGUAGUUGGUGGGAUAAAAGCUUACCAAGCCGACGAUCUGUAGCUGGUCUGAGAGGACGACCAGCCACACUGGGACUGAGACACGGCCCAGACUCCUACGGGAGGCAGCAGUGGGGAAUUUUGGACAAUGGGCGAAAGCCUGAUCCAGCCAUGCCGCGUGCAGGAUGAAGGCCUUC